UACGUAGGGUGCGAGCGUUGUCCGGAAUUAUUGGGCGUAAAGAGCUCGUAGGCGGUUUGUCACGUCGGAUGUGAAAUCCCGGGGCUUAACUCCGGGUCUGCAUUCGAUACGGGCUGACUAGAGUUCGGCAGGGGAGACUGGAAUUCCUGGUGUAGCGGUGAAAUGCGCAGAUAUCAGGAGGAACACCGGUGGCGAAGGCGGGUCUCUGGGCCGAUACUGACGCUGGGGAGCGAAAGCGUGGGGAGCGAACAGG
rnacentral:rRNA from 1 species